rnacentral:miRNA from 1 species
CUUCCAAUCAGGGAGGUACAUCUACCUCUUUGAUCAGAAGGGGUUCCUUCCAAUCAACGAGGUACAUCCUCGUUGACCGGAAGGAAACUCUUCCGGUCAACGAGGUAGAUGUACCUCGCUGAUCGGAAG